UACGAAGGGGGCUAGCGUUGUUCGGAAUCACUGGGCGUAAAGCGCUUGUAGGCGGAUCGUUAAGUCAGGGGUGAAGUCCCGAGGCUCAACCUCGGAACUGCCUUUGAUACUGGCGAUCUUUGAGUCCGGGAGAGGUGAGUGGAACUCCGAGUGUAGAGGUGAAAUUCGUAGAUAUUCGGAAGAACACCAGUGGCGAAGGCGGCUCACUGGCCCGGUACUGACGCUUAAGAGCGAAAGCGUGGGGAGCAAACAGG
rnacentral:rRNA from 1 species